AGUUCUUACAAUAAUGUAAGAACUCAAGUUAACAAGUCUGAUGCGAACAUAUUGAAGUCUUAAUAUUUCUGAUAAAUUUAAUUUAAAAUGUUCAUUUAAUGGAAAAUGGAGAAAUACAAAUAUGUUUUAUUGCACAAUUAACAUCUUGAUAACAUUUGUAGCCUACAUAUUUAGAUACAUACUUAAUCUGUUUAUAUAAGAUGGUGUUUUUUUCGAACAAGAAACUUUUAAACAGAAAAGCUUUAAUAUAUAGUGGUUAUUAUUGAUUAUUAUUUAACCUGCAAACUUUUGUGUUCAUCGAUUCACCCACAUUUACACACGGUGUAUGUAACGCUUUCUGUCCUAUUAGGUCUCGCUGUCGCCAUUAGUGUUUAAUAAAAUAGAACAGAGAAAUGAAAGAAAGGAACAAUACACCUGCUUUUAACAUUUAACCAUCAGUUUACUCUUUGGCGCCCUAUAAAGGCCUUCUAUAUACAAGCAGUUUCAUAAGACAACCACUUCGACUGACUGUAAUUAUCCAAGUCGGGAAAUUCAAGUAAAUUGUAGUUUACCUUAAUUAACUUUGGUGAUUGGUAAUGCUUUGUUGGUAUGCCUACGUCAUGGGUAAUUACUAGCACUGCUGUGAGCAGGGCAAGAAAUGUUCUCUUGCUACUUGCAAACCUGCAGGCAAGGCAAGUACUGUUUUUCGCACACUUCUUCUUCCCCUUCCGGUGCUACACCGGUCUCUAUCUACUCGCACAAACGGAAAAAAAAACGAAAAAAUAGGAAGAAAAAAUAUAUUUGUAGUACUAGUGUUCUAAGAAUUUUCUAAGCAGUAGUUCAUAUUGCUCUUAAGAUAAUUCAAGUUACAUUUUAUUACAAAUCCCAUGUGUUCAAUAAAAAAAUAUGGAAACCAAGGAAUGUGUAUAAACUGCAUGUACUCCCUCAAUAUUUACACAAAAUACACAUAUUGUACAUCAAAUGAUGAACAUGAUGAGCUAAUAAGAUAUUAUACUUUUGAAUUUUCCAAUGCACACAACCUUCAAAGGGACAUCUGUUUAAAGAACAGACUAGCAGUGUUGGGAAGUUUACUAUUAAAUUGUAUCCAGUUACAGAACACAGAAUACAUGCCCAAAAAUGUAAUAUGUAACGUAUUCCGUUUCAUCACUCAAUCUGAGUAUUGUACUCGGAACACUUGGAUUACUUCCACAUUGAAUUGCAUUUUAUAAGUGUAGGAAUGCGGCAUCAAAUCCUGCUUACUAAACAGGCCUUUCUGGUGUGUUCUUCUGUUCAAACUGGCUGAAUGUGUUAGGCCCAAGUCUCCCUGAAAGUGAACUAUUUUAUAUGAUUUGCUGUAGUGGAACAAAGACUAUAAGGGUAUGUUAAUGCGAAAGAUAUUUGCUAUUACAUCGAACAUUUUUUUCACUGAACUAAGGUGUUGCGGGGUCAUCCCUAUGUUCCCCGGGUCCUAUGUUCCCCGCUCGGGGAACAUAGGUGUUUUUCUAUAAAGUCCUAUGUUCCC
ensembl:lncRNA